UGGGGAAUAUUGCACAAUGGGGGAAACCCUGAUGCAGCGACGCCGCGUGAAGGAAGAAGUAUCUCGGUAUGUAAACUUCUAUCAGCAGGAAGAUAGUGACGGUACCCGACUAAGAAGCCCCGGCUAACUACGUGCC
rnacentral:rRNA from 1 species